AUUGAACGCUGGCGGCAGGCCUAACACAUGCAAGUCGAGCGGAGCGGCGGACGGGUGAGUAAUGCCUAGGAAUCUGCCUGGUAGUGGGGGAUAACGUCCGGAAACGGGCGCUAAUACCGCAUACUAUCAGAUGAGCCUAGGUCGGAUUAGCUAGUUGGUGGGGUAAAGGCCUACCAAGGCGACGAUCCGUAACUGGUCUGAGAGGAUGAUCAGUCACACUGGAAAUGAGACACGGUCCAAAAGCCGUCGGGAGGCAACAAGGGGGAAUAUUUGACAAAGGGCGGAAGCCUGAUCCAGGCAUGCCGGGGGUGGUAAGAAGGUCUUCGGAUUGUAAAGCACUUUAAGUUGGGAGGCGUUACCAACAGAAUAAGCACCGGCUAACUUCGUGCCAGCAGCCGCGGUAAUAC
rnacentral:rRNA from 1 species